UCAAAAUUGUUCAAAUAACUUUUUUUAUUUUUGUUUAAAAAAAGACAUGAAAAUUUUGAUAUUUUUUCUGCAACAAAAAAAAAUUAGAGUUGGGUUGUUGUUGUUUUUUGACACAACUGAAAGCUAAUACGUUUUGUUUUUGGCUUUCCUUUUGUGCUCUGGGUUUUGAUUGAUCAUUAUUCUUUCCCUCCCCUUUCUCUGCUUCUCCUUCCAACUGCUUUUCAGUGCCAAAGAAGGAAAAAGGGGAGAAAGGGAGAUGGUAAAAGGAAAAAUGGAAAUAUUUCCCUCACAUUUUAAAAAUGAACAAUUUUAUUGAAAAAUGUUCAGGAAAAAACGGAUAAAGCAAAAGCGUUUCUUUUUGAAACUUGCGGAAUGAAAUUGACUUCGAAAAAAUUCAGUGAUUUCUCCCUCCACCCAUGUUUUGACCAGCUCUAAUCAGUCUAUAUAGAUGUGGAGGUCUCGUGCUCUGUGGUUCUGCUUGGAUCACUUACUGCAAAUCUACCACUCCCUUUGAGUCCUUAGUCCCAUGCUCUAUUAAAAAUACUCAGAGUGUAUGAUCUACAAUCAAUUAAUUUAUCCUCAUAAACACCCCGCUGAAGUGGCCCGGCCAUCAGUUUCAUGUUGAUCUUUCAGUUUCUCAAAUGAACGCUGGCACUGGACUGAAAGCAGACCAAAAAAAAGUCCGGUCUUUGGACUUUGCAGCAUGCUAGACAAGGGUGGAAGUAACAUCGGCUAACCAGCAGCAGGUGCUGAUCCCCUGACCACAGAGCAGUGCCUUUCCAAUCACGAUGGAACACUGCAUGCUCCUUUCUGUAGUAUCUACAGGUCACAGCUCCAUGUUAAGGAUGAGAGGUGAGCUACAAUUUGUUUUGUUUUGGUGUGGCUCUCAGGAUCCUGAUGUGGUGUCUAUGUGGCCCUUAGAUGGACAAAGUUUUGAGUAUCCCUGUUCUACCAAUAGAAAAUUCCCUCAGGCUGGAGCUCACUUGCCCAUGUUUCUCUUUUCCUGUGCUCCAGGAUUGCCAAUCCCAGACAUUCAAAAAUCACGUCAGCUCCAUAAAAAUCAUGAG